rnacentral:tRNA from 1 species
GCCCCUGUGGUGAAACGGAUAUCACAACGGUCUUCGGAACCGUCGUUGAGGGUUCAAAUCCUUCCGGGGGCA